rnacentral:rRNA from 1 species
UACGAAGGGGGCUAGCGUUGUUCGGAAUUACUGGGCGUAAAGCGCGCGCAGGCGGUCCUUCAAGUCAGAGGUGAAAGCCCAGAGCUCAACUCUGGAACGGCCUUUGAGACUAGAGGACUUGGGUACGGGAGAGGUGAGUGGAAUUCCGAGUGUAGAGGUGAAAUUCGUAGAUAUUCGGAAGAACACCAGUGGCGAAAGGCGGCUCACUGGCCCGUUACCGACGCUCAGGCGCGACAGCGUGGGGAGCAAACAGG